rnacentral:rRNA from 1 species
CCUACGGGAGACAGCAGUGAGGAAUAUUGGUCAAUGGCCGCGAGGCUGAACCAGCCAAGCAGCGUGAGGGAGGACUGCGCUACGCGUCGUAGACUUCUUUUAUAAAGGAAUAAAGUGAGGCACGUGUGCCUUUUUGUAUGUACUUUGUGAAUAAGGAUCGGCUAACUCCGUGCCAGCAGCCGCGGUAAUACGGAGGAUCCGAGCGUUAUCCGGAUUUAUUGGGUUUAAAGGGUGCGUAGAUGGGUGCUUAAGUCAGUCGUGAAAGUUUGCGGCUCAACCGUCAACUUGCCAUUGAUACUGGCAGUCUUGAGUGCAGCUGAGGCAGGCGGAAUGCGCGGUGUAGCGGUGAAAUGCUUAGAUAUCACGAAGAACUCCGAUUGCGAAGGCAGCUUACGAAGCUGCCACUGACAUUGAUGCUCGAAAGUGUGGGUAUCAAACAGGAUUAGAUACCCGUGUAGUC